rnacentral:rRNA from 1 species
CACGUAGUUAGCCGUGGCUUUCUGGUUAGGUACCGUCAAGGUACCGCCCUAUUCGAACGAUACUUGUUCUUCCCUAACAACAGAGCUUUACGAGCCGAAACCCUUCAUCACUCACGCGGCGUUGCUCCGUCAGACUUUCGUCCAUUGCGGAAGAUUCCCUACUGCUGCCUCCCGUAGGAGUCUGGGCCGUGUCUCAGUCCCAGUGUGGCCGAUCACCCUCUCAGGUCGGCUACGCAUCGUCGCCUUGGUGAGCCGUUACCUCACCAACUAGCUAAUGCGCCGCGGGCCCAUCCCGUAGUGAUAGCCGGAGCCAUCUUUACAAGAGGACCAUGAGAUCCUCAAGAUUAUCCGGUAUUAGCACCGAUUUCUCGAUGUUAUCCCAGUCUACAGGGCAGGUUGCCCACGUGUUACUCACCCGUUCGCCGCUAACGUCAGGGAGCAAGCCUACCAUCCCGUCCGCUCGACUUGCUAUGUAUUAGGCCACGGCCGCCAGCGUUCGUCUCG